GGGCCCGCACAAGCGGUGGAGCAUGUGGUUUAAUUCGAUGAUACGCGAGGAACCUUACCAGGGCUUAAAUGUAGUCUGACAGCUUUAGAGAUAGAGUUUUCUUCGGACAGAUUACAAGGUGCUGCAUGGUUGUCGUCAGCUCGUGCCGUGAGGUGUCAGGUUAAGUCCUAUAACGAGCGCAACCCCUGUCGUUAGUUGCCAGCAUGUCAUGAUGGGGACUCUAACGAGACUGCCGGUGCAAACCGUGAGGAAGGUGGGGAUGACGUCAAAUCAUCACGGCCCUUACGUCCUGGGCCACACACGUGCUACAAUGGCCAGUACAGAGAGCAGCCAAUGCGCAAGCAUGAGCGAAUCUACAAAGCUGGUCACAGUUCGGAUCGGAGUCUGCAACUCGACUCCGUGAAGCUGGAAUC
rnacentral:rRNA from 1 species